rnacentral:rRNA from 1 species
GACGAACGCUGGCGGCGUGCUUAACACAUGCAAGUCGAACGGAAAGGCCCUGCUUUUGUGGGGUGCUCGAGUGGCGAACGGGUGAGUAACACGUGAGUAACCUGCCCUUGACUUUGGGAUAACUUCAGGAAACUGGGGCUAAUACCGGAUAGGAGCUCCUGCUGCAUGGUGGGGGUUGGAAAGUUUCGGCGGUUGGGGAUGGACUCGCGGCUUAUCAGCUUGUUGGUGGGGUAGUGGCUUACCAAGGCUUUGACGGGUAGCCGGCCUGGGAGGGUGACCGGCCACAUUGGGACUAAGAGACGGCGCAGACGCCUACGGUGGGCAGCAGGGGGAAAUAUUGCACAAUGGGGGGAAGCCUGAGGCGGCAGCGCCGCGAGCGGGAUGACGGCCUUGGGGUGGUAAACCGCUUUCGCCUGAGACGAAGCGGGAGUGACGGUAAUGGGAAAAGAAGCACCGGCUAACUACGUG